AGUCACUGACAUUAGAUACCCCUGUAGUCCCAGCCGUAAACUAUGCGCGUUAGGUGUACUGGUGACCACGUGUUACUGAUGUGCCGAAGAGAAAUCGUGAAACGCACCACCUGGGAAGUACGGUCGCAAGGCUGAAACUUAAAGGAAUUGGCGGGGAGCACCACAACAGGUGGAGCCUGCGGUUUAAUUGGAUUCAACGCCGGACAUCUCACCGGAUAAGACAGCUGAAUGAUUGUCAAUCUGAAGGUUUUACAUGACUAGCUG
rnacentral:rRNA from 1 species